UUGGGACCCGAAAGAUGGUGAACUAUGCUUGGAAUAGGUGAAGCCAGAGUAAACUCUGGUGGAGGCUCGCAGAGGUUCUGACGUGCAAAUCGAUCGUCAAAUUUGGGCAUAGGGGAGAAAGACUAAUCGAACUAUCUAGUAGNUGGUUCCUGUAAGUUUCCCUCAGGAUAGCAGUAACGAAUUCAGUUUUAUGAGGUAAAGCGAAUGAUUAGAGGUCCUGGGG
rnacentral:rRNA from 1 species